rnacentral:rRNA from 1 species
UACAGAGGGGGCAAGCGUUGUUCGGAAUUACUGGGCGUAAAGGGCGCGUAGGCGGCCUGCUAAGUCGAACGUGAAAUCCCUGGGCUCAACCCCAGGAACUGCGUCCGAUACUGGUUGGCUUGAAUCCGGGAGAGGGACGUGGAAUUCCAGGUGUAGCGGUGAAAUGCGUAGAUAUCUGGAGGAACACCGGUGGCGAAGGCGACGUCCUGGACCGGCAUUGACGCUGAGGCGCGAAAGCCAGGG